GGGAAGUCCGGUGAGAGUCCGGCGCUGUCCCGCAACGGUAACGAGGUAGGCAGGCGUCAGCUGGUUUAGGAACGCUGUCAGAUGGUGAGGGGGCGCGUUUCGCUAGCUGCGCUCUCGGCGUCUUCGCCAACGCCACAACCUCGAAGCCCGAUCGCC
rnacentral:ncRNA from 2 species